GAUGCUGUGAAUGCGCUCGGUCAUCCCCUUGCAACUGAUGUCACCUGCAGCAUGUCAACGCAGACACAAAACAGGGCAUGGGUCAGAUCUAGCUGGCUGCAUUCCUAACACCUAGGUUUCAGAGUAAAAAUAUAGAGUCAGCCUGUGAUGGCAUUCCCUCGAAACAUGGAAGGAACUGCAGUAAUGAAAGUCAUCAUGUAUUCUAAGUGACUGUUCUGCGAGAGCACAACACAGAUGGGGCUAAAGCAGGGAUUGUCUAAGCCCAGGGUGGAGGAACCAUCAAGGAUUUCAGCACGUUUUUUUAGCCAUUGUACAGUUUGUGAAAAUUAAGUUUCACUCUGUGAAUAAAGAAUUGGAUAGAUAAUUCCAGACAACAUUCUGAAAGACACUUACGCCCUCAUUCCAAAGUUGAAAUGAAAUGAGGGGGAGAAGACCUGCUGGGACUAAGGAAAAAAGUCAAUGAAAUCUGAGUGAGAAGCAAAAGUGCUCAGGAGUUAAGAGAAGCAAACGUCCGAAAUUAUCUCCAUGCAUUACUAAAAACUGUGGGCACCACGGCACGGGGAAAACUUACCAGGUACAAUGAGCCAGUGACUGUUACUGAAUUUCUUAAGAUUACACUUUUCCCAACUACUGCAGACUGCUUCAGAAUAGAAGAAGACAACUCUCAAGCCAUCAAGUCGACUGACUUUCAAAAAAAUAAAAGAUGCAUUUCUUUACUUGUAAGUAUUUGUCUUUGCAAAGGGCUCUCUGAUAUGGUAGCACAGAAGUUUGCACAUUCUAAGGAUCUGAUGUUUUGCCCUCUUCGGGUAUCCCGGCUGGAAGGAGCUAUGGUGAAAGGGCACCUAAGGUGAAUGGACAGAUUGUAGAUGGGUGCACAUAGGAAAAUGUACAGCUCCUACAAUGUAUUCUGAGCUUUACUAAGGGAAUUAAUUAUCUGGAAGAACAGGAACAUACAGGCCCAUGAGAAGGAAAAGCAAGCACUGGCAUUCUGCACAGAUGAAAUACUUCCUACGACAGAAAUACAUGCUCACUUGUGGACUUCUCUGUAGUUUGUAGGCAACAUCAGGUCCUGAUUUCUACGUCUGGAUCUGGGUUCUCUGUAGCACAGGAAGGUCUGUACUUCUCCUACAUAAAUGCCUUGCAUGGCGGGAACUAAAUCAACUACACAGACCCAUACAUCCAGAGAGCAGAGGUGAGCUGGAUACAGUGGCUUAGAGAUGUGGUGGAAGGAGCCCAGAGCUCCAAGGGAAGGGCAGCAAGGAGACAACAGCAUGGGUUGCAGCUCAGACAACAGGUAAAUAAAACCAAGCAAAGCUGCUGGUCACAGAUUUGACCAGGGUGGCAAGAAAUGACAAGCUACGGUGAGAUUCAACAGUGGCACAGAAGGAUGAUGAGAAGCAAACAGAUUAGGAGGAGCUGCCACCACCGUAGGCAGAGGCACAGAUGACCAAGCAGAACAGCACCAGUCCCUGCAAGGUGUGCUCAGAUACAGCUCGGCACAGCCAUCUGGCCAGGAGGGAAUGAUACUGCACAUGGCGUGCAUUGCAGCUGGGAAGUUGAGAACCGCCGUGGGCACCUCAGGACCAAGUCUGGUUACCCUGCUGAUCCAAGAAAUGAAGCCAUCUAAAAUUUUGCCUGCUUUUACAGUUUUCUGUGUGUGUGUGUGUGUGUGUGUGUGCGCGCGUGUGUGUAUUAAACAAAGUGAACU
rnacentral:antisense_RNA from 1 species